ensembl:lncRNA
GUUUAAUUAAGCAGUUGUUUCCUGAUCCUCACCAACGCCGUCCCCGCUUCGAAUUCCCUGGAUCCACCGGGGCUGGACCCCGUGGGAAUACCCUCAUCACAGCUGACUUGGAACCUUGGUGUGAAGAUGGAACAAGGCAGAGAAUGUGAAGUUGCUGCAUCUGAGGAUAAAGGAGAGGAUUAAGAUGUUAGCAACUGUGAAACAGAAGGGAGAAGACAGGAAGGAGACUUUAUUAAGGAUGAAAAAUGGCUGCGAUUUUGAAAACAGUCUUGUUGACAGAAUGGUUGCUGAGAGAUUUAGAACCAAUAGACCCUAUAGAACCACCUAUCUUUAUCCAUGAUGCUGCCAGAUCUUACCUUCACUGAGUCAAGAAUGAGCAGAGAUGUCUAUAGGAUGGAUAUGUGUGUGUUGGAACAGACAGUAUAAAACUCAAGUUCUAUAUUACUUCCUCUCCUUAGUGUCAACUCAGUCCUCAUCACUAAUCUGAGUUAAACCAGUGGAAGCAGUGACAGAUUUUAUUUUCUUGGGCUCCAAAGUCACUGCAGAUGCUGAC